UUUCCAUAGUCGCAGCAUUCUCUUUGCGUCGAAAACAAGCUACUCCUGUCUGAUCUCGCGGCUGCAGUGAGAUAUUUUGUCUUCGGGAUUGUGACGGACAAAAUUGACGUCUGCAGCUUUAAUUUAACCCUGCUACAGGCGUCUGCUGACUGGAAACUGAUUUCACAUCAGCAGUGUGUUAGGAUUCCUGCAAAAGGAGAACAAAAUGAACUGUGGCCUGUUGACAAACAAGAAUGAGCCAGUUCCACUAAAGCACAUCGAGGUGCAUCUGCAGGCUCUGGGGCAUGUUGCAACGGUGACCUCCACCCUGCAGUAUGUAAAUGAGGAAAAGCGUCCCCUGGAGGCUGUGUUUGUCUUCCCCAUGCCUUCAGGAGCUGCUGUCUGCCAAUUCAGCGCCAAGAUUGCAGACCAGGAGAUAGUGGCUGAGGUGCAGGAGAAACAGGAGGCGCGGGAGCAGUACGAUGAUGCACUGAGUUCAGGUGAACAGGCCUUUCUGCUGGAGGAGAGUGAGGAGUCUGUGGACGUGUUCAAGCUGAGUGUGGGCUCUCUGCCCCCAGGCCAGAGCGCUGCUGUCACCUUCAUCUAUAUCACUGAGCUGAGGGUAGAGGCUGACCAUUCGCUGCGUUUCUGCCUGCCUGCGGUGCUCAACCCCCGCUACACACCAGCUGGUACAAGUGCUGGUAUAGUGUCAGAGAUAACAUCAAGUUCCACUGGUAUUCCCUACUCUCUCUCAUUUACUGCACAUGUGAGCUCUCCAAACCCCAUCACUAAAGUGGAAUCUAAAUGUCCUCUAGAGCCCCUGAUGUACCUCAACACAGACCACACAGAGGCAAAGGUAAGCCUUUGUGCAGGUCAUAUGUUUGACCGAGAUGUUGAGCUGUAUCUAUAUUAUCAGAAUCCCCAUCAGCUCACUGCUAUAGUGGAGGCUGGAGCUCCCACGGCACAGCCAGGAUCUCACAUGGGAGACCCUGUGGUCAUGGUCAGUUUCUAUCCAGAGUUUCCUGAGUCAGUGAUGUCCUCUGUGUCGUCGUGUGGUGAGUUUGUGUUUGUUAUGGACAGAUCUGGCAGUAUGAGCGACAUGAUGCAUGAUGGACCAGAUGCACAAGAACGCAUUGAGUGUGCCAGGGUCACUCUGCUUCUGCUGCUGAAGAGUCUCCCCAUAGGCUGUUACUUCAACAUCUAUGGCUUUGGCUCUGACUAUGAAUCCUUCUUCCCGAAAAGUGUGCAGUACAGUCAGGACACUAUGGAGCAGGCUGUGAAGAAGGUAAAGGAGAUGCGAGCAGAUAUGGGGGGUACAGAGAUUCUGCAACCUCUGGAACACAUUUACAAACAGCCUUGUAUCCCCAACCACCCAAGACAGCUAUUCAUAUUUACAGAUGGUGAAGUAGGAAACACCAAAGAUGUUCUUCACUGUGUGAGGAGCAAUGCUGAUUUCCACAGAUGCUUCUCAUUUGGGAUUGGUGAAGGUGCAAGUUCUGCACUCAUUACAGGAUUGGCUGAGAACAGCUCUGGCCACUCCCAGUUCAUCACAGGAACUGAGCGCAUGCAAGCCAAAGUAAUGCAGUCUCUCCGCUAUGCUUUACAACCAGCAGUGAUUGAUAUCACUGAGGAUUGGAGUGGUGUGUCUUUCACCCGUCUGAGCCCCCCUAUUAAAACACUUUUCCAUGGUCAAAGAGCACUGAUUUAUGCCCAGCUGAAAGGAGAGGAGUGUCAGAAACCAGAUGCUAAGGGGAAAAUAUCAGUGAGGUACCGCCUCAGAGAUCAAGAUGUCUCAGACACUGUCCACUUCUCACUGAAGCCUGCUGAGAACAGCGGCAUGGCCAUCCACAGGCUGGGUGCUCGCUCUCUGAUCCGCACUCUGGAAAAAGAUGAGCAGGAUGAUGGAGCUGAUAAAGAGGCUCUGAAGGCCAGAGUGGUGGAACUGAGUAAGCAGUCUGGAGUGAGCAGCUCACACACAGCCUUCAUAGCUGUCAAUAAGGGCAGCAGACAAGCUGUGAAAGGACCACUGGUGACGAGGAGAAUUCCUACACCAAUGUUGUUGGCAUGUACCAUGAAGUCUUCCCGGCGUAUGGGUGUACGAAUGGCUGCUGCUUGGUGUGGCACAGCAUGGCAAUGGUUUGCUUCUUACCUGGAGGGAUGACAUAUCACAUGACAUGGAGGAGAUUCGCAUCUGCUCCAUGCAAAAUCUUCACUGGUGUCCCACAAGGCUCAGUGCUGGGCCCUCUUCUGUUCUCCCUCUAUACCUGCUCUCUCAAAUCAUGACACUCAGUUCAUCCUCUUCUUUCCUCCCUUUGACACCUAUGUUUUUGCAUGGAUCUCAGCAUGUCUUGCAGACAUCUCAUCAUGGGCAGCUUAUCGGCUGAAACUUGGUCCCAGCAGUACUGAGCUGAUGUACAUCCUUGGAGACACAUCAACAUUUACUGUAGGUGGUUUUUAGUAGUCUUGCAAGGACCUGCUUGACAUGAUGUACAUAAAUCUCCAUGGAGGGGGUAUAGAUUAGAAUAUCAUCACAGCAUAUCCCUAAGUACAUCGUUUAUGGAAUACUGGUGGUGUGCAAGUGAGCCCAUAUGGCAUCACACAGUACUCAAAGUGCCAGAGGUGGUGCUAAAGGCCACCUUCCUUUCAUCCCCUUCUCUGAUAUGAAUAAGGUUGUAGGCACUGUGAAUGUCAAGGUUGGUAAAGAUUUGGGCACAGUCACUCUGGAAGCAGUCAUAUAAGGUUGUUGGCUCCUCUCCCUCAGGUAUAGCCCAGGUGAGUGCCUUGUCAGUUAGCAGGUUGAUGAACUGACAGAAGUAGAGGGAGCAGCACAAAGCUUUUACUGUAGCAUAAAGCUUUUGCAUUGGCCGGGGUCACUGGCAUAUUUAUCUGGGCACGCAAUGAGCAGGAAGCAUGGUGGUUAGGUGCAGCUUGUAAAGCUUGCUGCAGUGGCAGUGUGCUUGUGAGUAGCGAGAUCUUAAGUACUGCAAGUUGUUGUUGCACCCCAACCACACAGCCUUGAGCCACUAAUACCUGUUGCCAGUCACACAUACCUGCUGCAUCCAUAUGAGGUGAAGUAUUCUGUCAGGAGGCAGAGAUGCCUGGUAAACAACUUUAUUAGCAAAACAGGCAGACAAAUUUAAAAUGUGUUUCAAAACCAGUGUUGAAAAACAGUUCAAAGUAAAAAUAACCAGGUAGUGACUGAGUCCAGGUCUGUGUUUAGAAAUCAACUUUAAAUGUGGACGGGACUAUGGACAUUGGGAAGUGUAGUCCAGGGCAGCCAUUUUUUAAUUCUGUGAAGGAUUUUGAGAAUUGGAGUUCAUAGCUGCCUUGGGAGUUGACAUGACGUAAUGCCUGGACAAAACACAGAUAUGAGCAUGCUGGGUUAGUAGUUAGGGCCCAAGCACUGAAAGUGCCCUAUUGUUUUCCUAAGGAUUAUUAUUAUUAUUUAUUUUUUCAAGGUUUCAGGGGCUUUUGGGUCCCUUAACAUGCUCAAAAACUCAUGAAAUUUGGCACACAUGUCAGAGUCGUCAGCCAUUUGGCACAGGCAAAGGGUAGCACAUAGGCAUGGUGGCGGGACUCUGCAGCUCCCCCUUUUACACGGUACAUAAACUUAGUGCACAUAUCGUACAUACUUGUACAUGUAUGUACGAAACUCAUUUAAACACUCCAUUUAAAAAAUGGUGAAAGGAAUGCUAAAAUUUAGAGAAAUAAAAUUAUUUUAAAAACGUAUUUACAAGAAGACAAGAACAAUUCACUAUUGGCCUAUCAAGGUUAUUUGGUUGUGUUCAUAUUAUAGAUUUUACGGAAUCAGCAUUUAUCACUUUUUGGGAAUUUUCUCCAAACACAAAGGUGACAUAGUGACCAAGCUGUAAGUCAACUGACUGACAUUGUUUUAUCCUUCCCCCUUCCUGACUGGUAACAGUGGUGUAAUAGGGAGAACUAGCUAGUGGUUGGGAAGGAGAAGUGGGGGGGGGGGGGGCAUGAACAAACCAUGUACUUUAGCAUUAAUACAACACAGGUAACAUUUACUUUAAGUACUUGUAUUAAUUGAUUAAAUAAAUAAUAAUCCAAAUAAUCAACACCUGCAUUAACCAUUAACAUUUUUGAUCAGUGAGUAAAAUUAAGUUCACAACAUCUUAAUUCACUUAUAACUGCAAGUUCCAGUACUUACACCUGGCCUGCAGAGUUCCGUUAUUAACGUUUAGAAAUAUGCUGUAAUUCAGUUUUAACUAAUUUAUGUGGACUUAAAUGUGGAUUGUGGAUUGAAUAACCAUCAGUCAGUGCAGGUGUAUUACUUACUUCAUCAGUCAGUGCAGGUGUAUUACUUACUUCAUGUAUGAUUUUUUUAUUGAUAAUGUACACUGUUAUAAACAUGAAUUAAUGCAGUAAAUAAUAUUAACUAUGCGAAACCUGAUGUUAAGUGAUAUAUACUUGAGUAUAAAACCAUUACAAAUGACCUGGUCUAUGCACAAUGACACAAUGAUGCACAUAUCAUAUUUGUCAGGAAAAACACCAGGCGGAUUCAAGUGCGAGUUCGGUGACACUUUAAUGAGAUAGCUAGAAAACAAACAGACUGAGUACUGUGAGAAGAAAAUCGUGGGUGCAGUGGUGGCAGGUAUCCUUGGUGGCACUCAGCUGUAAUGAGGAAUAAACGGUCCGAUAGUCCUGGCAAGACGACAGUAAUCCAGAAGUUAACAUAACUGCUGCAGCAAACUAUUUUGCAUAGUUUUUGCUGUAAAUAUUAACACACAAUUUAUAUUUGAUGAACUUUAAAAAAAGAAAAAAAAAACGUGGCAUGUACAAAGUUUGGACACCCUUCCAGUUGUAAAGUCUCAGAAUUUAAUUGACUCGUUAGGACUCAUUAGACAGGUCAAGAAUUGUUAUUAGGACAAAUAAUCCCAGAGCUGAAGAAAAGCUUAUUAUUAUAUAUUAUAAAGCACUAUUCUCUAAUCUUACAUGUCAGUGAGAAUCUGAAAAGUACUAUAUUUAAAGAAGAUUGAAGGAAUUGACUUAAAGAGAUUAAGUAAAUUAUCUUUGUUUAGUAGGUAAGAUAGUGUAAUAAUAGUGUGAUAAAUCUGCCUUGCCAAAAAAUACAAGGUAGGAUAAGGUUUAACAGUUUAUCAUACCUUGGUAAAGCUUGCAUGUUCUGCAAGGUUUCUUACCAUUUUAUGAUGAGUCAGGGUCGUUUAACCAGUGUGUCAGGAUUGAGGCCGUGAUUAUUGUAAUACAGGUAACUCUUUACAUUCAGAUUCCCUAAACUUUAUUUAAUACAUUAGUUAUGAACAAACCAUUUACAUCAACAUUAAUACACCCUAAAUAAUAUUAGCAAUGUAUUUAUUAAUUAAUAAAAAAAGUUUACUAAAUAAGCCAAAUAAUCAACACCAACCCAUAAUUGAGAAAAAUUAAGCCCAUUAUGAACAAUAUCAACAAACAAUUUUAAUUCAUGUUUGCAGUUGUUAAACAGCCAAAUUUUUAGAACUGGGGACCAAUAGGAACGCACAGUUUUGAAAUGUUUUCAUCACUGAGAUCCACCAAUAUACUACAAAAUGUAUGAUGAAACAAUGAUACACAUAUUAUAUUCAGAGAACAUGAUUAAUGAAUGGGGAUGAAUCCUGAUAAUGAUUUUUGUUUAUUUGCUUCUGUACAGUGACGCCUGCAUGUGCUUCAGUUCCAGAUAUGGUAGAGUGUAAGUAAUUGUUUUUCUUUGACUUUGUUAGUAAAGUUGAAUAGAAUAGAAUGUUUAAUCAAGUUCAAUUGAUGAGCUGUUAAAUUCUCACUGCAGUAAAGGAAUAAUAUACAACAGGAUGUGAUGUUACAGAAAAAUAAAAAAUGAUUAGGUGGUGUGAUGUGGCCUAAUGCAAAAUGUAGGACCACUGCCAGCUCCGAAGUGGAUUAUUGUCCAAUAGCAGCAUGCUUGGUUUAUUCCUCAUAUGCCACAGCAAUUUGCCAACAAUUACAAUUUUUCAUUUAUUAUUGAGCAAACCUGUAUGCUUUUUUACCAUUCAGAGUUACAUAUAAUAUUGUUCUCUCACAAUUCUCUUUUUUUCCCUCUUAAUACAAGUUAAUACAACAACAACAGAAAAAAGUAGCUUGUCACGCUGAUAAACCAGAAAGCGCAAAGUCUUCUGUCCUGAAGACGUCCCAUGUUGGAAAACUGACUGUUACAAAGUGCUGACACCUAAGUCUUGUCGAUCGUCCACCAUACAAGCCAAUGUGAAUAAUUUGUAACUUUAGAAAUGUUAAUGUAUUAGAAAUACCUAUCAUUUUAAUUACAGCAACAGCUACUCUCAGAGCUGCUCUUACAGAAAAUUAGUCAACACUUUGAACAGUCAGAUUAAGACUUCAACAGCUAUGUGGUAUUAAAUGAUAUAAUUGAUACUGUGUUCUGUUUUCUUUUGAUUUAGCUUCAUAUAGACAUUUUCCUUGCAGUAGUCUGUACCAGUAACUCUGUUCUAAAUGUUCUUAUCAUUCAAAGUAGAUACAUAGGACAUAAUGAAAAUUAUUUUUAAGUUAUACUCUCACUCAUUCUGUGGUUAUUGCAGUGCUACGAUGAUUUUAGACAUGAUAUUGAUAAUGUCAUGAUGGUAGGAUGAUGAUUCCUUUUGAAAACAGAUGCGCUUCAAUUCUCAAUUGUUUGUGGUAAAGCUAAAACAAUUUUCAUUGCUUUAGGUGAUGGAGGUUUUGACAUGAGCCCAGAAAUUUCUGAGCCUCCAGAGGACCCGUUGUUGCAGCUCGUCUCCCUGCAGAAGGCUUCAGGUUGCUGGGAAAUGGAGUCUACACUUGCAGAGGUGUUUGGGAGGACAGAAAAAGAGCUGAUU